AGAUUGAACGCUGGCGGCAUGCCUAACACAUGCAAGUCGAACGGGAGUAGCAAUACUCUAGUGGCGGACGGGUGAGGAAUACGUAGGAAUUUGCCCUUAAGUGGGGGAUAACCCGGGGAAACCCGGAUUAAUACCGCAUGACCUCGAAAGAGCAAAGUGGGGGAUCGCAAGACCUCACGCUUUUGGAGAAGCCUACGUCGGAUUAGCUAGUUGGUGAGGUAAUGGCUCACCAAGGCGACGAUCCGUAACUGGUCUGAGAGGAUGAUCAGUCACACCGGAACUGAGACACGGUCCGGACUCCUACGGGAGGCAGCAGUGGGGAAUAUUGGACAAUGGGCGCAAGGCCUGAUCCAGCAAUGCCGCGUGUGUGAAGAAGGCCUUCGGUUGUAAAGCAACUUUAAGUUAGGGAAAGAAAAAACGUACGACUACUAACACAAGUGAGUCGUUAGACGUACCGACAGAAUAAGACACCGGACUAACUCUGUCGCCAGCGAGCCCGCGGUAACUCGUGAGCGGCGUGGACG
rnacentral:rRNA from 1 species